ACAUUUCACUAUCUGAAGAGCAGAAAAUGUGUUAAUAGGAGCCUGGUGAGUGGAGGAGACUGAAGAUGGAGAGAGAGCCUGGACCUCAACAUGAGCAUCUGGAGCCAUUUGGCAGCAUUAGGCUGUGACCGCUUAGAGAACCGAAAGGUGCAGAGCUUUAAAGGAUUAUGGAGUCUGAAGACCAAAUGGGAUGAUGGAGAACAGCUAUUCAGUGGUACAAAUGUAAAUGCUCCCAGGCCCGGGCAGAAAAGAGAAAACAUUUCCAUGGAAGAGGAAACAGGAAAUUCCAACAGAUCAGCAACAGUUGGAGUGCUAACCUGUCACUGGAAUGGGAAAAAAAAUGCUGUCGUUGACACAUCUUUUCCUUGUUUUUGACACAAAUUAGAAUUGAGUUUGGUUUUGCCCAUCUGAAAUAUCUGUAAAGACUCUGAGGACAGAACAGAUACUUUGGAGUUUUCUUCAAACUUGCAUAGCUCAAGGGAAUCCCAUUCAGGAUGCCACAUUACAUUCAGUAUGUCUUCUUAGACUCCUAUGGGCUGUGACAGUAUCUCAGAAUUUCCUUGCUUUUGAAUAUAUUGAGUUUUGAAACACCACCUGGAACACAGCUGUGACUUGAUAAACAAGUGAAACAUUCUUUGGUGUGGUGAGGGGAAAACAAAUUUCUCAAAGGACACGCACCAUGGUGUAUGAGAGGACACUGGAGCCCAGCCAGCAUCUGACAUGCUGAAUUCAAAGUGCAGGUGAAAGUAGGACAACUGAUUCACAAGCUGGGAUGCCUGUGUUGUUGUUUGCCAGUGUGCGUGUGUGUGUUUUCCUGGCACCCUUCAUUCAUUCCCCAGCACAGUUGACAUCAGGUUGGAAGCAGUGAGUUCUGAGGGAGACUGCUAGAGGACCCAACUUGGAGAAUCAACGAUCUGCGAUGAAGAUAAUGAAGAUAAAGACAAUGUCAAUGUCAGCGUCCAAAAUCAUAAGGACCCUUUAAGAAGCUUCCAGAGCAGAAGUGACUGUGCAAGAAGGGCCAAUAAAGUCUAGGCAAUGCACGACCAGGCGCGGUCGCUCACGCCUGUAAUCCCAGCACUUUGGGAGGCCGAGGUGGUUGGAUUACCUGAGGUUAGGAGUUUGAGACCAGCCUGACCAACAUAGUUUCACCCCAUCUCUACUAAAAAAAAAAAAAAAAACAAAACAAAA
rnacentral:lncRNA from 1 species